rnacentral:rRNA from 1 species
AUUGAACGCUGGCGGCAGGCCUAACACAUGCAAGUCGAGCGAGCGGCGGACGGGUGAGUAAUGCCUGGGAAUUGCCCAGUCGAGGGGGAUAACAGUUGGAAACGACUGCUAAUACCGCAUACGAUUGGAAUGCCCAGGUGGGAUUAGCUAGUUGGUGAGGUAAUGGCUCACCAAGGCGACGAUCCCGAGCUGUGCUGUGAUGAUGAUCAGCCACACUGGAAGUGAGACACGGGCCCGACUCCGACGGGAGGCAUCCGUGGGGAAUAUUGCACUAUGGGGGAACCCCUGAUGCAGCCAUGCCGCGUGUGUGAAGAAGGCCUUCGGGUUGUAAAGCACUUUCAGCGAGGAGGCGUUACUCGCAGAAGAAGCACCGGCUAACUCCGAGCCAGCAGCCGCGGUAAUAC